rnacentral:rRNA from 1 species
UACGUAGGGUGCAAGCGUUAAUCGGAAUUACUGGGCGUAAAGCGUGCGUAGGCGGCAAUGUAAGACAGAUGUGAAAUCCCUGGGCUUAACCUAGGAACUGCAUUUGUGACUGCAUUGCUAGAGUGUGGUAGAGGGAGAUGGAAUUCCGCAUGUAGCAGUGAAAUGCGUAGAUAUGCGGAGGAACACCAAUGGCGAAGGCAAUCUCCUGGACCUGCACUGACGCUCAUGCACGAAAGCGUGGGGAGCAAACAGG